rnacentral:rRNA from 1 species
UAAUACGAACCGGACAAACGUUAUUCGGAAUUAUUGGGCUUAAAGGGUGCGUAGGCGGCGCGGUAAGUGAGGUGUGAAAGCCCACGGCUCAACCGUGGAACUGCGCUUCAUACUGCCGUGCUUGAGGGAGACAGAGGUAAGCGGAACUGAUGGUGGAGCGGUGAAAUGCGUUGAUAUCAUCAGGAACACCGGUGGCGAAAGCGGCUUACUGGGUCUCUUCUGACGCUGAGGCACGAAAGCUAGGGUAGCGAACGGGAUUAGAUACCCCGGUAGUCCUAGCUGUAAACGAUGAGCACUUGGUUGGGGAUCCUCCCAUAGGUUCCCGGCCGAAGCGAAAGUGUUAAGUGCUCCGCCUGGGGAGUAUGGUCGCAAGGCUG